rnacentral:rRNA from 1 species
AGUGAACGCUGGCGGUAGGCCUAACACAUGCAAGUCGAACGGCAGCACAGUAAGAGCUUGCUCUUACGGGUGGCGAGUGGCGGACGGGUGAGGAAUACAUCGGAAUCUACUUUUUCGUGGGGGAUAACGUAGGGAAACUUACGCUAAUACCGCAUACGACCUACGGGUGAAAGCAGGGGAUCUUCGGACCUUGCGCGAUUGAAUGAGCCGAUGUCGGAUUAGCUAGUUGGCGGGGUAAAGGCCCACCAAGGCGACGAUCCGUAGCUGGUCUGAGAGGAUGAUCGGCCACACUGGAACUGAGACACGGUCCAGACUCCUACGGGAGGCAGCAGUGGGGAAUAUUGGACAAUGGGCGCAAGCCUGAUCCAGCCAUACUGCGUGGGUGAAGAAGGCCUUCGGGUUGUAAAGCCCUUUUGUUGGGAAAGAAAAGCAGCAGGUUAAUACCCCGCUGUUCUGACGGUACCCAAAGAAUAAGCACCGGCUAACUUCGUG